ensembl:lncRNA
UUUUUUUUUUCCAAGUUUGAAGUUGAAAUCAGAUGCAGUUUGAAACGACGGGUUACGCCUGUGAUGUUCGUAGGAAAGCACAUCAUACUGUGAUAUAUUGCGUGAGAUUUAUGCUUUCAUAUGUAAUUUCUUCUGUCCGCGAAAGCACGGCGACGCGAUGCUCGGUGACGUUUCUGUACGGCACGGCGUGUGAUGAACUCGAUGAACCACGUUCGCAUUAAGGUGAAGUAAGUCGCUGGGGGAAGUCUAACGAGGAUGUUAUGAGGAUAAAUCUUAGCCGUAGUUUAUGGCGCAUGGCCGGAAGUCGUUUUAUUUUUAGCCUCCACCAGCAUUCGGACGUCUCCGCCUGCGGCGCAGGAGCGUGACGCCGCUGUCUGAUGGCGGUGUAUUGUGUUGCUGUCACACUGAUUGGCGUGUUACCCCUCUCUGCCCACUCUUACACUUUGACUCAGUGUGCCGUGGGAAAAGAACAAUGAAGCCUGUGGCCUGACGGUGUAAAGUAUGGAACAAGGAAACCGCGUGAGACAAAACUCCAGUUCACUGCAUCCUGCAAACAUUCUGUAAUGAAUGUAUAUCAAUGUUGUGGGUGUGAGAGAGGGUGUGAGUGUGUAAGAGAGAGCGAGAGGGUGUGUGAGAGAGCGAGAGAGAAGGGUGUGUGUGAGAGAGAGAGAGAGAGAGAGAGAGAGAGAGAGAGAGAGUGGGGGGUGUGAAUCUGAGUGUGUGUGAGAGAGAGAGGGGGUGUGAGUGUGUAAGUGAGAAGGGGUGUGUGUGAGAAGAGAAGGGGUGAGUGUGAUAGAGAGAGGGUGUUUGUGGUGUGAGAGAGAGAGGGUGUUUGUGUGUGAGAGAGAGAGGGUGAGAGAGGGUGAGAGAGAGAGCGGGUUGUCAGUGUGAGAGAGAGAGCGGGGUUGUCAGUGUGAGAGAGAGAGUGGGGUUGUCAGUGUGUGAGAGAGAGAGGGUAGGGGUGUGUGUGCAAGAGAGGGGGGGUGAGUGUGAGAGAGAGAGACAGAAGGGGUGAGCGUGAGAGAGUGAGAAGGGGUGUGUGUGAGAAAGAGAAGGGGUGAUUGUGUGUGAGAGAGAGGGGGGUGUGGGGGGUGAGUGUGAGAGAGAAGGGGUGAGUGUGUGAGAGAGAGAGGGUGUUUGUGUGCGUGUGAG